rnacentral:rRNA from 1 species
CCCUUAGAUGUCCUGGGCUGCACGCGCGCUACACUGAUGUGUCCAGUAAGCACCUAACCUCUUCCGAAAGGAACGGGUAACCUUUGCAAAGCACAUCGUGAUGGGGAUAGAUUAUUGCAAUUAUUAGUCUUGAACGAGGAAUUCCUAGUAAGCACAAGUCAUCAGCUUGUGUUGAUUACGUCCCUGCCCUUUGUACACACCGCCCGUCGCUCCUACCGAUUGAAUGUUCCGGUGAGCUCUUCGGACUGCGGGGUCUGCAGUUUCUGCGUUCCGUGCGGAAAGUUGCGCAAACCUUAACAUUUAGAGGAAGGAGAAGUCGUAACA